GAAGGGUAGCCGGCCUGAGAGGGCGACCGGCCACACUGGGACUGAGACACGGCCCAGACUCCUACGGGAGGCAGCAGUGGGGAAUAUUGCACAAUGGGCGAAAGCCUGAUGCAGCGACGCCGCGUGAGGGAUGACGGCCUUCGGGUUGUAAACCUCUUUCAGCAGGGAAGAAGCGAAAGUGACGGUACCUGCAGAAGAAGCGCCGGCUAACUACGUGCCAGCAGCCGCGGUAAUACGUAGGGCGCAAGCGUUGUCCGGAAUUAUUGGGCGUAAAGAGCUCGUAGGCGGCUUGUCACGUCGGUUGUGAAAGCCCGGGGCUUAACCCCGGGUCUGCAGUCGAUACGGGCAGGCUAGAGUUCGGUAGGGGAGAUCGGAAUUCCUGGUGUAGCGGUGAAAUGCGCAGAUAUCAGGAGGAACACCGGUGGCGAAGGCGGAUCUCUGGGCCGAUACUGACGCUGAGGAGCGAAAGCGUGGGGAGCGAACAGGAUUAGAUACCCUGGUAGUCCACGCCGUAAACGGUGGGCACUAGGUGUGGGCAACAUUCCACGUUGUCCGUGCCGCAGCUAACGCAUUAAG
rnacentral:rRNA from 1 species